rnacentral:rRNA from 1 species
UACGUAGGGACCAAGCGUUGUUCGGAUUUACUGGGCGUAAAGCGCACGUAGGCGGAUCUUUAAGUCAGGGGUGAAAUCCUGGAGCUCAACUCCAGAACUGCCUUUGAUACUGGGGAUCUCGAGUCCGGGAGAGGUGAGUGGAACUCCGAGUGUAGAGGUGAAAUUCGUAGAUAUUCGGAAGAACACCAGUGGCGAAGGCGGCUCACUGGCCCGGUACUGACGCUGAGGUGCGAAAGCGUGGGGAGCAAACAGG